ensembl:lncRNA
CUCAGAGUGAGUUGUCCUGGCAUUGAUGUUCCCUCUCCUGGCAUCCCAGAGGCCCCACGUGCCUCCUCUGUGCCUGGUGGACUCCCAGGUACCUUAAGGCUUUUGGCUCAGAUGCCCCUUCCCCCAGGAAGCCCUCCUGGCUUCCUCCCCCGUCCACUCCAGAUUUGUACACCCUCAUCAGGGCCUUUCCCCAGUGUUCUUAUUGCUCGUUGCUGCCCUGCAGGACCCUCGGCCUUGACUCCCCCACCUGGCCCUACUGUGCCAAAGCUCAGAGAGGUUGGGACAUUUGCCCAGUGUCACACAGCUGGGAAGUGGCAGAGCCCAGCACACGCUCAGACAGAUUGGAGCCCAGUGCUUUGCCUGCGGGCAGUGCAGCCUAGUGGCUAGGGAGGUGAAGAGGGCUAGGAGGCUGCUCCUGCCCCUGGUGUGGGGUCUUGGGCAGGUGACUUCACUUGUGACAUCGUUUUCGAGGCACCUCUGGACUCUGAGUGACCACAUCCCGGGCUCAGACAGGAGGACAAGGCUGGCCGGCCAAGGAAGGCUGCCUGCCUGUGCCUUCCCCCACCCCCCAACUUUGCUUCGUUGCCUCUGCUCUCUGCUUUAGCCUGGACCUGACCCCUGACCCCAGGGCUCAGCAAGCAGUGCUGAGUGAGGUGUCUGCACCUGUACAGUCAGGCCACUCAUGGUGGUCGUUCUUUGGCUGGCUGGCCACGCCCUGCCCGACCGACCAGGGCCUGCUUACCUACCAUCCCCUAGCACGGGACUGACCUUCCUGCAUGCUCGCCCCAGGCCCCAGGUGGUGAUUGUUCUAAUCAAAGGGGCCCCUUGCGGCCACGUGCCCACUGCUGAUUUCCCUGGUAACUAAUGAGCCCACCUGAGGUCACUUCCCCUGUAACUGGUAACCUGCCCUUUCCCGGGAGCGAAGCCUGCCACCGUGUCCUGCCUGCCGUCCACCACACACAAUGGGGCGUCUCUCCGGGACUCUGCUUCAGACGUAGAAAGCUUGCUGAUCUCUGGUGGAGACAAAUACAGUUUAAGAUAGUGGCUGCAGCAGAACCAGAGCGGGGGCCCCAAGUGUGGCAAGACAGUCUCUUGUUAGUCUGGAUUAAAUAUCAGAUGGAAUCUACUGCCCGUGUUCGAGGUCUGCAUACGGGGGGAGCUUGUGAUGUUGUUCAAGGGCUGGCAGAGCGCUCUUGGCCUGUGGACCCCCAGCUUCCCACAGAACCUUGCACGCUUUCUCCCACAUGCCGGCCAGGGGCACAGACAGACCCUCCACUGCGCCUGCCUGCACCCCGCCCCUUGUCACGCUUACGGCUGCUCACCCCGUCAGGUCGCAGCCUCUGCUCCUCUGUGAGCCUUCGCGGCUCCUCCCAGGGCCCAGGUGCCCAGUUUCUAGCCUUCUAGCCAUCAGCACCAGCCACAUGUCUGCUUCCUGUUCUGCCCUGUGUCCUGUGGCCUCCUCCAUGGACGCUGUGCCCCCAUCCCACACGUGACUGUGACGCGCUGCCCGUCACAGGGGGAUCGACUGCCCACCCCUAGACUCAGCAUGUGUGACUGACGUCUCGCCCACUGGAGGAUGCAGAGGUCAUACAGGCGAGGAUCCUACCCUGCUGCUCUUGAAGUUUUUGGCAGCCACUCAACAAGGGACCCCAAACUCCAUGUCAGGGAGACCACACUAGAGGACUUGAGGCCUCACGAAGAGAGGACCCCCACCAUCUGUUUGCAGCACCACCUUCCUCCUGAGACCCUGACCACGGAGUCCCUGGGAGUUCAUGGUUUGAACUGUGUCCUCUGGAGAAAGACAUGUUGGGGUCCUAACCCCCAGGACCUCAGAAAGGGACCUUAUUCAGCGAUAGGGCUUUCACAGACACUGUCAAGCUACAGUGAGGUCAUUAGGGAGGGAUUGAAUCCAACACAACUGGUGUUCCUGGAAGAAAAGAAAAACUGGACAGAGAGACACGGGGAAAUACCAGGUGAAGAUGAAGGCAGAGGUCCAGGUGAUGCUUCUGCAAGCCAAAGUGGCCGGCAGCCACCAAAAGGGAUUGUUUCCCAGAACCCUCAGGACCAACCAGCCCCGGGACACCCUGACCUCAGACUUCUGGCUUCCAGAACGUGAGACUACACCUCUCUUUUUUGAGCCACCUGGUGUGUGCAGUCCUUGGUUUCAACAGCGCUAGCAAAGGAAUACAGGAGAUAAUAAAAUGGUUGUUGUUUUC